rnacentral:lncRNA from 1 species
CCUAUCUCCAUUAGAUCUCAACUGGAGUACUGUGUUUAAUUUUGAGUACCAUGGUUUAAAGAAGGCCAUUGACAAUCUGGAGCAUCUAUAGAUAGGCAACUAGGAUAUUGAAAGACUUUGAGUCCAUUUCAUAUGAAGACUGGCUGAAUUAAUUUGGACAUUUUUAAUUUGGAGCAGAGAAGAUUCAUGGUGGAUGGGAUUCAUAGUUAUCUUCAGGAAAUCUGGCCAACCUUCCCUGGGAGAAGAAUGAUGUAUGUCCUCACCUCCUUCUCACAAAACCAGAGAUGAUAUAGAAUGGAUUCAGCUGUUCUGGCCAAGUGCUGUAUUGAGAUGUAAGCCUCUGUCAGCAGGCAACCCAAAGGACCUCAGGAUAAGAUGGAUUGCUGGUCAGGGUAAAGAGUGUGGAAGAGGCAUGGAGGAAGAGAGAAUUUCAAGCAUGCAAGAAACAAAGCUGGGGACCUGAUCUGUCAAUCAAGGUGAAGAUUCCAAAACAGAAUAUUCCCAGGAAAGGCAGUUGGAGCUGGCCAGAGGAGAUGAACUGAGAUUUCCUCUCUGGGGGGUUACUGACCAAAGGAACAAAACCUCUUCUCUGGGGUUCCUGAAUAAGGGAGAGACUGGCUUUUUCUGAUCUAGGCAGAGAGAGACCUUUUGGAGGGCUUCUGGAAUGAACCUGAGAAGAAAUUUACUUUUGUUGGUGGCUUCGUGUAAUUGGAAGAAGAAAGAAGUUUUAACAGUUGUCUUCCAUCUCUCUGGCUGUCUCUGAGUCACAGUUGUGACUGGACCGACAUUUCCCAAACCCUCCUAAUUCUCUUUGUAGAUUAGGGGCAACCUCAUCCUUCUUACCUCAGUUCUCCAUCCUGUUGUUUCCAAUAAACCUUCUUACUUGAGAAAAGGAGAGUAAAGA